rnacentral:lncRNA from 1 species
AGAACAUGCUUAAGAAUCAUGCUGGCCCUGUGAUGGGCCUUCAUAGAACUUCGAGGAGCUGGUGUGACUUGGAGGGCAGCUGUUCUGGUGCUGUUCUGCUGUAUGAGAAAUCCUGUUUGGUGAGAAGAUGUCAGAGCUGCCCUUGGCAUGAAGCUGCUGGGUGUCCAGAUCUUGCUGAAUCCAGCCUCAGUGAUGCAGGGUCUGGUUCUGGACUCAAGAGACUGAAC